GGGGAAUAUUGCACAAUGGGCGAAAGCCUGAUGCAGCAACGCCGCGUGAGGGAAGACGGUUUUCGGAUUGUAAACCUCUGUCCUCAGGGACGAUAAUGACGGUACCUGAGGAGGAAGCUCCGGCUAACUACGUGCCAGCAGCCGCGGUAAUACGUAGGGAGCAAGCGUUGUCCGGAUUUACUGGGUGUAAAGGGUGCGUAGGCGGCCCUGCAAGUCAGGCGUGAAAGGCGGAGGCUUAACCUCCGAGCUGCGUUUGAAACUGUGGGGCUUGAGUGGAGCAGAGGCAGGCGGAAUUCCCGGUGUAGCGGUGAAAUGCGUAGAGAUCGGGAGGAACACCAGUGGCGAAGGCGGCCUGCUGGGCUUUAACUGACGCUGAAGCACGAAAGCAUGGGUAGCAAAC
rnacentral:rRNA from 1 species